rnacentral:lncRNA from 1 species
UUUGAGUUACCAAGAUUUUUGACAACCAUGGUAUAUAUAUUUUGAAAAUGUAAAGAUUGCUUCAACUUGUGAAUAAAUUUAAAAGAAGAGACAUUUUCUUGCAUUUGUGCACAAAAAUUCUAAAUCAAGCGAUGAUAUGUGAACAUAAUGUGGUCACCAUCAUUGGAGAUUAUAUUUUUUUUAUUCCGUGACAACGCAUGGGCCAUUUUGCUAGUUAAUAUAAAAUAAUCUAUAAUCCGGAUGAAAAUAUUUUAUACAUGAAAGUUGAUUAGAAAACGAGAUGAACCCGGUACGCUAUCCGUUCGUGUGUCACACGUCCCUAUCACAGCGAACGUGGAAGUUUUCCAUCCGUUUCGCGUGACCGGUAGUAGCCAUAGACCCGGAAAAUAUCAUCUGAUAUUUUCCCAAUCCGUCUAUGACGGGUGAUACUGCGUUAGCUCAUGCCUAGCGCUGCAUAUAACUAUGUCAUGCUUUGUGAGGCAUUUGAUUGCUAUGUUAUUUAUUAUGUUUUCCCCUAUGUUACUUCCUUUCCGGUAGACCCCGAGACCGAUGAUGAUCCGGUGAUCGACUACUUCUCGGUCGAGGAUCCGUUUUGUGUGCAGAGCAACGAGGCAAGCAAACCCCCUUGAUCAUUCCUAUAUCGCCUAUUCUUUGUCCCUCAUGCUUGCAUUAGAAUUUUGCUACUGUUGUAGUUAGCUCCUAUAUCUGAUGCAUAGCAUGUUUUUGAUAAACUGCUACAUUAUUCUACUGCACCUUAAAACUGUUUAGUAUAGGUGGAGCAAUCAUCCCGUGUGCCCCCUUAGUCCAGUUGCCCCGCUUUAUCGUCAAGUCUCGAUCAACUGAUCGACGAGCCAAGACCCGACACAGCACUCACACCCUCCUUAAUUGUACAAUGCAACAAAGCUACUGUUGAGUACCAAGGGUGACACCUCGUUACGUACUCUGAUGUUAGCUUUGUAGUGUAGUUGCGCGGCGAUGGUUCUCCGAGGGUGAUUCCUCCUUCACCAUCUUUGAUAACGACUCUGUCGUACAACCCAUCAAGCGUCGCCCAUCGAGGGUGAUUCCUCCUUGGCCACCUUGACGGUUACAUCGUUCGGAAUCCAUCGAGGGUGAUACCUCGGAUCCCCCUGAUGUUACAACCACACAGUUACUUGACCGUGUUACUGGAAACAUUGAUGAAUAAAUGUUAGGCCGGUGGAUUCCCGCGUGGAUGUGUCGAUGAGUUAAUUAAAAUUCUAAUGAUAUGGGUAUUUGAUCUGGGUUGGAGAGAGACCUUUUCGCACUAACCGGCUACGCGGGAGAAGUUAUGGUACUUGACGUCGUGGUAUCAGCCGAAACUCUUCAGACGUCAGCGAUGGAGCAGCGCGCGCCCGAGUGGUCUGGAUUAUCACCAUUCUUGUAUAAGAGGUGCCAAGGCUGACAUUGGCCGCCCACGCAACAUGCAGGAGCGCAAUGGGUGAUGGGCCCAUGAACCCUGCACGCUUAGGAUUUAGACCGGCGGGCUGGCCUCUCUGUUGAGUCUAGGCGGGGCUGCGACGUGUUGAUGUUCCGAGGCGGGGCAUGACACAGGAAAGUGUGUCCGACCAGAGUUUAUCAAGCGUGAUGUGAAACUUGGUGCACCUGUGCAAUGAUGAAAAUUAACUAUUCGGAUAGUCGUGUCCACGGUUACAUGACGACUUGGAGUUGUGCCCCGAUCUUAUACAACUACAACUGUUACUUAACUGGAAUGUUUGCUCCGGGAUUGCUUCCUCGCACGGAGUCGAGGGAGGAUCCCUGGGCGUGACCUUAAUUUAAUAUUGCUGCAACAAUAUGACUAUAAUUGUGUUCAUGCUCUACUCUCGUCUAUUGGUGCAAGACCGCUGAAGAUGCUAAUCUUCGAUAGGACUAGUAUUCUCUCUCUAUUCUUGCAUUGUUGCAGUCAGUCCACAUAUAACCCCUUCCUUUGAUACUGAUGCAUACUUAGCAUAGUUCUGAUGUCAGUCUUGCGAGUACCUUGGAUGAGUACUCACCGUUGCUUCGCUCCCCCUUUUCCCCUCGACCCGUUGCUGCGACCAGAUGAUGGAUCCCAGGAGAUGGUGUAUCUCGCCGACGACGAUUGCUACCCCGAUGGUGCCUACUACUACGUGGAGGCCGCUCACGACCAGGAGUAGUUUAGGAGGUUCCGAGGCAGGAUGCCUCACCUCGUUCGAUCGUUGUAUCUUUUGUGCUAGCCUUCUCUAAGGCAUUGUCAUGUUUCAUGUGUGUACUCAGAUAUUUGUUGCUUCCGCUGACUCAUGUGUUUAUUGAGCUUCUGUAUUCUAGCCCUCGAGGUCCCUGGCUUGUAAUAUGAAGCUUGUAUUGUUUUAAAUUGUGUCUAGAGUUGUGUUGUGAUAUCUUCUCGUGAGUCCUUGAGCUUGGUCCUAUGCAUUUGCAUGUAUGAUUAGCGUACGAUCAAACUGAGGGCGUCCCAGGGAGCCUCUGUUCCCAAGAGAUCCAAUCUGGGAGCCUUUUCCGAUAAUCUUCCGGAGAGGGAAUUGAUCACGGAGGGCAUCUACAUCAACUCCAUUGCCCCUCCGAUGAUGUGUGAGUAGUUAACCAAGACCUACGGGUCCAUAGCUAGUAGCUAGAUGGCUUCUUCUCCCUAUUUGAUCUUCAAUAUCAAGUUCUUCAUGAUCUUCAUGGAGAUCUAUCCGAUGUAAUACUCUUUUGCAGUGUGUUUGUCGAGAUCCGAUGAAUUGUGAGUUUAUGUUCAGAUUAUCUAUGAAUAUUAUUUGAG